CCAAUAGCGUAUAUUAAAGUUGUUGCAGUUAAAAAGCUCGUAGUUGAACUUCGGGGUUUACUCAUUGGUCAGGCUUAAUUGUCUGUACUGGUGAGAUGAAUCUCUACCUUCUGAGGAACUUUCAUGCCAUUUAUUUGGUGUGAUUGGAGAUCAGGACUGUUACUUUGAAAAAAUUAGAGUGUUUAAAGCAGGCUAACGUCUGAAUACAUUAGCAUGGAAUAAUGAAAUAGGACGGAUUGAUUCUAUUUCGUUGGUUUCUAGGGUCACCGUAAUGAUUAAUAGGGAUAGUUGGGGGCAUUAGUAUUCAAUUGUCAGAGGUGAAAUUCUUGGAUUUAUUGAAGACUAACUACUGCGAAAGCAUUUGCCAAGGAUGUUUUCAUUAAUCAAGAACGAAAGUUAGGGGAUCGAAGACGAUCAGAUACCGUCGUAGUCUUAACCAUAAACUAUGCCGACUAGGGAUCGGACGAAGUUAAUUAAUAAUGACGCGUUCGGCACCUUACG
rnacentral:rRNA from 1 species